AAGAGCGAGAGAAAAAGAGAGAGAGAGAGAGAGAGAGCAAGCAUUAGUCUGUAAGACUGGCAUGUGAUGAGGAGGAGCAGAAGGAGGUGCAUAAUAAAUCUCCUCCAUGUAAAGAGGGCAGAGAAAUUCACUACCCUCCUACUCUCACAGCUCUUUUCUGUGUGGUUGUCUCCAGUACAGUGGGGUGUGUGUCCAGCGAGGUGUGUGUCUGCCAUGGCUGUGUCUGCACUUUCCUCCAGGCUUCUCCUGCUGGGUCUAAAUGCUGCCCGGGUGACGUGUGCGCACCUUGGACGGCCUGGCUGUGUCUUCAGCAACGCUAGAGGAGUGAGCUCAGGCCGAGCACUCAGGACAGAGGAAAGGGUAACAGUUCAUUUCAUAGAUCGGGAUGGAAAGAGAAUCUCGGUCAACACUAUAACAGGAGUUUCACUACUUAACAUUGUUGUCGACCAGAAUUUAGACUUUGAAGGAUUUGGUAAGCUAUAAUAGAAAUUAAUAACUUGUUUAGCUGUUGAUAUUUGUCAACAAUAUUAACAAAAGCCUUAACAUUGUGUUGAAAAGCAUCCCACAUAUUUUAAAUUGGGGAUAGGUAUGGUGGUGCAUCUGGUUAUGCCAUAGAAUCUGUUUUUUCAAGGCAAGCCCUUAAGAUGGCAGCAGUAUGUGAAAGAGCAUUGUCCUGUUGAAAUAGCUCACCAAAGUGUGUGUUCAGAAAAAGGCAAGGCCACUGUUGAAGACCAAAGGAGAUAGUAUGGCAUAGUAUGAAACUGAACACUGGACAAUGACGCCAGGCCUUCAACAAACCAUUGAUCUUGAUAGAACCAUUAAGUGGCAGGAGGUCAUCUACAAUGAUAACUAGUCUAAUAUGCUAUGGCCAGCCAUAUCCCAAUAUCUUUAUUGCCAAUUAAAAAUGUGUAUAAUGCUAAUUAAUGUAUCAACACUCCAUCCGUACUGUAAAACCUGCAGUAAUUAUAUGCUGCAUGGACUACAGUUUGUAAUUAUAAAAUGCUGAAGUGUUUGUAUUUGGUCAGAUGGAGCUGUAAUUGUAAAUGUAAAUAGGACAGUAAUUGUAGAAACAAUGUGAUGAUAAUAUUGUGACUUGACUGUAUAGAUACUUAUAUAUUAGGGGUGGGAAUCGAUUACUAUCUCACGAUUCGAUUCGAUUCCGAUUUUGGGGGCCACGAUUCGAUUCAAAAUCG
rnacentral:lncRNA from 1 species